UGCAAGUCGAGCGGCAGCACGGGGAGCUUGCUCCCUGGUGGCGAGCGGCGGACGGGUGAGUAAUGCAUAGGAAUCUGCCCGGUAGUGGGGGAUAACCUGGGGAAACCCAGGCUAAUACCGCAUACGUCCUACGGGAGAAAGCAGGGGACCUUCGGGCCUUGCGCUAUCGGAUGAGCCUAUGUCGGAUUAGCUGGUUGGUGAGGUAAUGGCUCACCAAGGCAACGAUCCGUAGCUGGUCUGAGAGGAUGAUCAGCCACAUCGGGACUGAGACACGGCCCGAACUCCUACGGGAGGCAGCAGUGGGGAAUAUUGGACAAUGGGCGCAAGCCUGAUCCAGCCAUGCCGCGUGUGUGAAGAAGGCCCUCGGGUUGUAAAGCACUUUCAGUGGGGAAGAAAGCCUUCCGGUUAAUACCCGGGAGGAGGGACAUCACCCACAGAAGAAGCACCGGCUAACUCCGUGCCAGCAGCCGCGGUAAU
rnacentral:rRNA from 1 species